GCCCAGGUGGCGGAACUGGCAUACGCGUACGUCUCAGAAGCGUAUCUCGCAAGGGUUGGGGGUUCGAAUCCCCCCCUGGGCA
rnacentral:tRNA from 1 species